CUAUUUUCCAGUGGAAUUUCCACCUGCUUCCGGAGCUCAGUGCAGAAAGCAACAUUCUUUGGCUCAGAGGUCACACACAGUGGAUACAUAGCUCCCACAAUUCCUUCGUGCUUUUUUUCCUCACUCUUUUGCUGACUUGUCACUUCUCAAUGAUGCAUGUUUCUGCCUAAGGCUUCUAAAUUGAUUAUGGAGAGAGAACAAGGGACUCUUGCUGAGAAAAAAGAAACAGAACCAUUUUGAAGUGAACAUUAACUUGGGCCCAGUCAGUUUCGUGUGAGAUCAGGUUAUUAUAGAACCAACAGUUCAGGGUGGGCUCUGACUUCAUGAAAUCAGAAACAGCCUGAAACCACUGACUUCCAUCAGCAGAGUCCAACAAAAGCCCAGAUCGAUGAAUAGAGAGGCCAUGAAGGACAGAGAGAGAGAGAGAGAGAGAGAGAGAGAGAGAUCAUUGAGGAUGGCCCUGUCCAAUUAUCAAUUACAAUGGUUGUUCGGAUUCAAUGAAUGCUUCUGGUACUUAAUAUUUUAAAAUAUACAGCUGGUGGCCCAGGCCUGGAAUCCCAGUACUUGGGAAACUGAAGCAGAAGGGGGAUCAAGAGUUUGAGGCCAGCUUGGGCAACAAAGUGAGAGCCUGUCUGAGAAAGAAAUACAGCAAGGAGAACUAAAGAAUACAGGGAACAAAUUCUUUGGUUGUAAUUUCAUAUGAAUUGAGUGAGACCCAUGAAGUCCAUCUACUCUGACACCAUGGCCUGUGAAAUCGCUCUUCAUACAGAAGAGGGAAUGAUGCCGUCCAGCAUUCACUUUUGUGUGCUGGGAGAAACCGAGGAAACCAGAGCGAGAUAGAACACUGCGCCCUGUGUUGUGCCUCAGGAUGUUGUAUCAGAACUCUUUCUGAUGAUGGAUUUCUUUUUUUUCUGAGUGAAUCAGAGAAUUGACUAGAGUCUACAUUAUAUUUAAAAAAUUAAGCUUUAUGUGAACAGGCAAGGGCAUGUGGAUAGGUGUGGAAUUAUUCAUGAAGCUAAAAGGCUAAAGAAACACUGCCUUCUCCCUUUCUGGAAGGACUGAUAUGAUGGCCCAUUCCUGCAGUCCAGGUGGUUUCUUGCUUGCAGUUGCCCUUUCACAGCCACAAAUAUGAGAAGUGAUUACUUGACAAAACAUUUUUAUGCUAUUUUUAAAAUGAGAAAAUUGACUUAUGUGAAUAUUCGAUCCAAACUUUGAUUUUGAGACAACAAAAUGUGUAUCGUUCUAAAUGUCCCAGACACUCCUAGUAUUGACUUCUACCAAUAAAUGGCACUAAAACG
rnacentral:lncRNA from 1 species